rnacentral:rRNA from 1 species
UACAGAGGUCCCAAGCGUUGUUCGGAUUCACUGGGCGUAAAGGGUGCGUAGGCGGCUUGGCAAGUCGGAUGUGAAAACUCCAGGCUCAACCUGGAGCCGCCAUUCGAUACUGCUAUGGCUAGAGUCCGGUAGGGGAGUGUGGAAUUCCUGGUGUAGCGGUGAAAUGCGCAGAUAUCGGGAGGAACACCUAUGGCGAAGGCAGCUCGCUGGGACGUUACUGACGCUGAGACGCGAAAGCGUGGGGAGCAAACAGG